UGUGAAAAAAAGAAGUUAUUAUAGCACACGUGACUGUUUUUUGUAGCUGCAAACGAAGCUUCUAAGUUAACCUAGUGUAUUGGUGGUAGAAUUAUUCAUAUUCCACUGGCUACAGCAGAUACUUGACUGGAGAAGCUGCCACAAGUGGAAGCAAAUACAAGGAUGGCUGAGUAAACUAUGAAAAUCCAGUCAUGGUGUGGGUGAGCCUUCAGAUGAAGCUGCAUCCAACACAAGUACUCACCCUUCCACUUACAGUCCACUGGCUCAGCUGGUAGCAGAGCACCUGAAGUCUCAAGGGAACCUGAAUCUAAAUCUAAAACGGAUAUUAAGAGACGGUGGACCAUGGCCUAGAUAGUUACAUAUGAGCCUUUCCAUCAGCUGACAGGAUACCAAAAACUCCAUGCUCUCAUGUGACCCUCUAUCUGUCAGACUAAUCAUCUCUCCCAGAUGCACCGAACACAGAGCCACCGGAGCAAAGCAAAACACCUCAAGAGAAAAAAGGGAUUUAUGUCUUCAGUCAAGGGAGUUUCUCAUCUCUCCAGGCGAGCCAAGAGACGCUUGUGUUGUAAAUUACAGCUUUGGAUGUGGAGGAAGCGGAGGGAGAAAAGCCGUUUUGGGUUAUUCGGACCAAAGAAAAGAGCUCGCGGGACCACCUCCAGCCCCUUCCUCAGUGUAAAGACACAGCCGAAGGAACAUAAAAGUAACGUUCCAAAGUACCACACACCAAAGCUAGAAAAUACUGAUACUGGAGGUUCAGAGGACGCGCUCGGAGGGCAGAAUUGCCUGCUGACACUUAUGUCAGUCUGUCAGUCUAUCAGAAACGUUUAUUCCUUCAAGUUCCUUGCAGAACCAGGUUACAAACACAAAUGUUUCUAACAUCAGUCAAACCACGCCAACAGCGGUGGUGCCGUCUCAGAAAACAGAAACUUUGGUACAACUCAGUGAAAUUCUCGACCCUUUCAAACUUUGUCCCACUGUCAAAGCCCUUUUGAGUACAGACAGCGAUGCAUGUGGGUUAACUACACAUUUUAAAGAAGCACAGACCAUGGUACCGGCUCAAAGGCUGGAGGUUGACGGUCCAUCAGGACAAUUGACUUCUGUUGUUCCAGGUGAGGAUCAGGCUACAAACAGACCCACUGACGAGAGCCUCAGCAGUAAAAAGACAGAGUGUACACAAACUGAUGCCAGCUUUCUGACAAAGGACAUCCACGAAUUUCUUGAUGACUUCUACAGAAUGUAUGGAAGUUUCAUCCAUUACGAAAGAGAGACGUGUUGAGACAUCUGCAGAGGAAGUUUAACACUGAUUUCAGCGACAGGAAAAAUAUCAUCUCCUCAGAAGUGAGCAAAUACCGAACUGCGAUCGCUCAGAAGCCCGUUCCCUCAUUUCCAGGUCGUCUACAAGAAGCACACACUGACACUGGAUGACUUGUCUACACUGGCAGAUCAGAACGGCUCAACG